rnacentral:tRNA from 1 species
GCGGGUGUGGCGGAACUGGCAGACGCGCUAGACUUAGGAUCUAGUGGAUUAAUCCGUGCAGGUUCAAGUCCUGUCACCCGCACCA